AUUCCAUCCCGGUUAGAUUCCAUUUCACAUGUGGAGUAGUCUUUUGUCUUUUCAGCCUAUUAUGACUUUUGAAGAAAUACAAGAAAGGUGAGUCCAUGUGACUAGUUCUGGCCAAAGGAAUCAUGAACAGAAGCAACGUGGGUCAUUUCUGGGCCAAAACAUUUAACUGACAGAGUGAGACCUUCAUGAACUGUCUUUCCUGCUGUCACAGUGAUUGGAAGCAUUCCAGAUAGUGCUUGCAACAUCCAUCAGUCUGGUCUCUGAAAGACAAUGAAGAACAAUACCCUCAAAUGAUCUGCACCAGAUGUACAGAACACACACUAAAAUCCGAUGAAGUGAGAAGACUACCUUUUUUGACAGUCCUUUUAUCUUCACUCUCCAACUAAAGUUUCAGAGAAAGAAUUAUUGAAAUUCAAUAAAGAAUUAUGGCAAUCCCAGCCUUCACUCCCCUUGAUGCCCCAUAGGAAGAGUGUAAAGUUGGAAGACAUGAGCAGUCUUAUAGCUCACUUCUCCCUAAAACACGAGAAUGUUGCCAGAUUUUGUGUUCCAAGUUCUGAACUUCUUGCCUUGUGGAGUUCUUGACCACCAUAUGAGCAGGGCCAUGUGCUGAAGUGCUUAGGACCCCAAAGGCAACUCCUACUCCCACUCUACUCUUUGUUGGUUUGUUUUCUCUUUAAGCCUAAUCUUGUGCAAGGAAAAGGCAGACAAACUGGGGAGGAGAAAGACUUUUCAGGAGUUUUCUCAGAAAAUUAGGAAGUAAAUGAUGAUAUGGGAGGCUUUUGUUGAAUGAUAGAAACCUGAGGCCUUUACCACCCUGAAGGCUUGAGAUGUGUCAAGAUCUCUAAUGGGAUAUU